rnacentral:rRNA from 1 species
UGGGCAACCUGCCCCUCUCUCUGGGAUAACCCCGGGAAACCGGAGCUAAUACCGGAUACUCCGGCUGGAUCGCAUGGUCCGGCCGGGAAAGGUCCGCCGGAGAGGGAUGGGCCCGCGGCCUAUCAGCUUGUUGGUGGGGUGAUGGCCUACCAAGGCGACGACGGGUAGCCGGCCUGAGUGGGCGACCGGCCACACUGGGACUGAGACACGGCCCAGACUCCUACGGGAGGCA